CCUCCUUUCCACAGGAAAUGCUCCCAGACGACAGCACGAACAAGCCCUAAUUAAGUCUUUCCUCAGAUCCCGACGUCUUUUCCUCCAACCACAUCUUGGGUUUAGAUGUAGACCAGAUGAAGAAGCUGUGGUGGAUCAGGGUGGGACCAGUACAAUUCUCAACAUUCACUAUGAAAAAGAAGAGCUGGAAGGUCACAGAACUCUGUAUGUGGGAGUUCGGAUGCCGCUUGGCCGGCAGAGCCAUCGGCAUCACCGCACUCAUGGCCAGAAGCACCGGAGACGAGGGCGAGGCAAAGGAGCCAGCCAGGGGGAGGAAGGCCUGGAAGCCCUGGCCCACGACACACCAUCUCAGCGUGUUCAGUUCAUUCUUGGCACCGAGGAAGAUGAAGAGCAUGUGCCUCAUGAGCUGUUUACAGAGCUGGAUGAGAUCUGUAUGAAAGAGGGAGAAGAUGCUGAGUGGAAGGAAACAGCCAGGUGGCUGAAGUUUGAAGAAGAUGUUGAAGAUGGGGGAGAACGCUGGAG
rnacentral:sRNA from 1 species